rnacentral:rRNA from 1 species
CCUACGGGUGGCAGCAGUGAGGAAUAUUGGUCAAUGGACGAGAGUCUGAACCAGCCAAGUAGCGUGAAGGAUGACUGCCCUAUGGGUUGUAAACUUCUUUUAUAAAGGAAUAAAACGAGGCACGUGUGCCUUUUUGCAUGUACUUUAUGAAUAAGGAUCGGCUAACUCCGUGCCAGCAGCGGCGGUAAUACGGAGGAGCCGAGCGUUAUCCGGAGUUAUUGGGUUUAAAGGGAGCGUAGAUGGGUUGUUAAGUCAGUUGUGAAAGUGUGCGGCUCAACCGUAAAAUUGCAAUUGAUACUGGUAGUCUUGAGUACAGUUGAGGUAGGCGGAAUUCGUGGUGUAGCGGUGAAAUGCUUAGAUAUCACGAAGAACCCCGAUUGCGAAGGCAGCUUACUAAACUGUGACUGACAUUGAUGCUCGAAAGUGUGGGUAGCAAACAGGAUUAGAUACCCCAGUAGUC